GAUGAACGCUGGCGGCGUGCCUAAUACAUGCAAGUCGAGCGAACAGACGAGGAGCUUGCUCCUCUGACGUUAGCGGCGGACGGGUGAGUAACACGUGGAUAACCUACCUAUAAGACUGGGAUAACUUCGGGAAACCGGAGCUAAUACCGGAUAAUAUAUUGAACCGCAUGGUUCAAUAGUGAAAGACGGUUUUGCUGUCACUUAUAGCUGGAUCCGCGCCGCAUUAGCUAGUUGGUAAGGUAACGGCUUACCAAGGCAACGAUGCGUAGCCGACCUGAGAGGGUGAUCGGCGACACUGGAACGGAGACACGGUCCAGACGCCUACGGGAGGCAGCAGUAGGGAAUCGUCCGCAAUGGGCGGAAGCUUGACGGAGCAACGCCGCGUGAGUGAUGAAGGUCUUCGGAUCGUAAAACUCUGUUAUUAAGGAAGAACAAAUGUGUAAGUAACUAUGCACGUCUUGACGGUACCUAAUCAGAAAGCCACGGCUAACUACGUG
rnacentral:rRNA from 1 species